rnacentral:rRNA from 1 species
UACGAAGGGGGCUAGCGUUGCUCGGAAUCACUGGGCGUAAAGGGUGCGUAGGCGGGUCUUUAAGUCAGGGGUGAAAUCCUGGAGCUCAACUCCAGAACUGCCUUUGAUACUGAAGAUCUUGAGUUCGGGAGAGGUGAGUGGAACUGCGAGUGUAGAGGUGAAAUUCGUAGAUAUUCGGAAGAACACCAGUGGCGAAGGCGACACACUGGGCCAUUACUGACGCUGGAGGCGCGAAAGCGUGGGGAGCAAACAGGAUUAAGAAACCCCAGGUAGUCCGAGC